rnacentral:rRNA from 1 species
UACAGAGGGUGCAAGCGUUGCUCGGAUUUACUGGGCGUAAAGCGUACGCAGACGGUAAGGAAGGUCGGAUGUGAAAGCCCCGGGCUCAACCCUGGAACUGCAUUCGAAACCCCCUUGCUAGAGUAUGGGAGAGGGAAGCGGAAUUCCUGGUGUAGAGGUGAAAUUCGUAGAUAUCAGGAGGAACACCGGCGGCGAAGGCGGCUUCCUGGCCCAUUACUGACGUUCAGGUACGAAAGCGUGGGUAGCAAACAGG